CCAGGUUAGGGCAGCAGGGCACUGCCGUUGCAGUCAAACAUUAUCCUAUGGAAUGGGUGCUGUGGAGGGGCAAUUUUGUAAAUGAGGAGGCUAUUGUUCUCAGAGACGGGGCAGAGGGAUCCUGUGACAGAGAUCAAUAGGGAUCACUGAAGAUGUUGCAUCAGUGUCCAGUAACAAGAACAGAGGGAAUUUAAUAGAAAGAACUGUUAGGUCUAAAGUUGCUAACUGGGUAACUGAAGGGUCACAGGAGACCUCUCAGGCCUCAGGAGCAGACGUAGCAACUGCAGGACGCAGCCACCAUUCCUCAGGCUGAGGGAGCAAAGGGAAAGGUAGAAACACAAGGGAAGCCCUGAGCAGCUGAACCUCAGACUUGUGAAGAGGGAGAGCCCGGGCGCCGGGACCCAGACUUCUGAGCAGGGGUGCCAGCCGGCUGUUGACAGUGUCUCCUGGGGGGCGGGCUGGGGAGAGAGAUCCUGCGAGAGCUGGAAAAGCUGCGAACUGGAUUCAGCUGCUGCUUCAGCAGGGCGCUGCCCGCGGCCAGGGUGAGGAACAGUUGUUGGGAUGGUGCUCACAGAAACAGGAAGCCCACAGGAAGCCGCCGGGGAACAAACAGGAAAGAGCGAGCCGGCUCCCUCCUCCACCGGCGGUCUCCUUCCAGCGCCCUGUCGGCAGAGCCUCCCACAGAGGCCACUGCAGAGCGGAAAUGAGCCCGCGGGAUCCCAGCUCCAGCCCCUCAGGGCCAGCGACUUCCUGACGGACCCAGGCGUCCUGUUUCAGGUGUUCUGCUUGGUGCUGUGGACUCCUGGAGGUCAGGGACAGCCGUGAUCUCUCUGUGACCUUCUCAGGGACUGGCAUCCUUCCCGGGCAGAGCAGGCCCUAAGGGGUGAAAAUUUAGCUUCAUAGUUCGGCUUUGAAAGGCGGUCAGUAUUAGUAAGAUGGAGACCAGUUUAGUGCAGAGGAACGUAAAGAUCCAGGCCAACUGGGACUUGCUGGGCAGAGUUCAAGGGGCAGCCGCAGGAUGCAGCAUGGCGCACUCUGUGGAGAGGGGGAGCAGAGGUGGCGCGAAGGCGAGGAAGCAGGAAGUUCUUCCUGGAGAAAUUGGUUUGAGCGGGAGAAGCAGGUGGGAGAAGGAGAAGCCAAGCAGUGUGAAAUCUGAAGCCCCAGCCUCAGGCUUCUCCCCCAGGGAGCUUGAAAGAGAAAAGUCCCUGAUGGGAUCAAAUCUCACAGAAUUGCCUUGGCUUUUCUUGGUGGGAUAUGUGAGACGGAGCCUAGAAAUCCUGCAGCCAUUUUGCUCCCAGAGGGAAACCAGCCUUAGUGUGAAGCUGAUAUUAUGAAAGAGAGAGCAGAGAUGGGACAAUACGGGAUCCUUGCUGAUGUUGUCACUGAAUCAACCCACUCUGAUCCUGCCUCUGAAAUUUCUGUUUAUCUGAGCUAAUAAAUCGACUUUAUUGUUAACCAAUUU
rnacentral:lncRNA from 1 species